rnacentral:rRNA from 1 species
AGCUUUUAAACCAAAACCAAAUAUAUGACCCCUUGGUUUUUAGUUGGGGCAACUUCGGAGCACAAACAAACCUCCGACAAACCGCAAAUCAAGACAAACAAGUCUAAACUCACACUUGACCCAAUAGUCUAAUCUAAACUAUUUGACCAAUGAACCAAGUUACCCCAGGGAUAACAGCGCUAUCCUCUUUUAGAGUCCUUAUCGACAAGAGGGCUUACGACCUCGAUGUUGGAUCAGGACACCCCAAUAAUGCAGCCGUUAUUAAAGGUUCGUUUGUUCAACGAUUAAAGUCCUACGUGAUCUGAGUU